ACUCAUAUCACCACUGAAACGAGCAAGAGGAUCCUUUCUCUCUGUUUUCAGUUCUCCUUUUGCUGUUGGGACUGUCCUGAAGUCUCUGAUGUUUUUUGAGGUGUCUCCAAAAUCUGCUCCCUUUUGCCUUCCAGUUACUCUUGGGGUUUUGGCACACACAGAGCUGCAGCCUCAUCAGCUCACAGGGAGCCUGUGUGGCUGAGCUGGGGAGCAGCUCUCUGGGUGGUUUGGAGUUGGCAGGAAGGUUUCUUUCUCCAUUUUUCUAAUUUCACAGAGGACCUGGCUCACUUCUUCUGCCCAGCCUGAAGGGAGAAUAGCUAGUGAAAAGGGAGGGCAGGUAGAACACCCAUCCCAGGGAGUGACCAGAGGAGAACAGGGAAGGUGUUGUCUGGAAACCAGGUGAUAAAAAUGUGAUUUCCAAACAUGUCCAGCCACAGGCCUGACCCUGUCAUGUCAAGGGUAGCACUCUUCAUCACCUCAGGGAAAAUGGAUUCAUGCCAAAGCAAAGGGAUCUUGCUGAUUUUCCUGUGGAAAAAGGAGGGAUGCAUCCAGCUGCCAUCUUCCUGGCAUGGCACACACUGUCCACCAUCUCCACAACAGGAAUUCGCUCUGCUGGGCAUCAGAUUCAAGCCUUGUGAUAAUCUGAAGGAGCUGGUUUUGAAUCAUUUGUACAGCUGUUCAGAGGACUAGAGAGGAUAUUAUAUAAUUUGUCCAAGUAAAAUCCCAUUUUUAGCACAAUCAAAAUGUGAUCAGGAUCCCUGGUAUUCACUACUUUUUUCCUAAUAUUGCCUCACAGCAUUUCUCCAUAGCAAAGAUAAUUAAUUAGCAUGUUCAUUUCAGUGGCAACUUAAAGAAUUGAGUGUAUAUAUUUCACAGAGUCAGUUUUCCUAAUUAUUAUCUGAGAUGCUUAUUUUGACUCAAUUUUCGAUUCCUCCUGAGAGGAAGAGAGCUAAUCCACUCUGAAUAUUUUCCUUCUCAAAUUAUUUCUAGUGCUUAGUGUUGGAAACCAAUCCUUUACAAGAAACUGAUCUAGAAGCUGUUGAAGAAUUUUUUGCCUUCUGCUUUCAGUAAGCACUGCAUUGGAUUUGGAAGUAAAUUGGAUAGAUGAGCUUUUCUGGAACUGGUGAUGCUUCUCUUGUUCUGAAGCUAAGCCCUAAAUUUGAUGAUAUUUCACAAUUGCCUUGCAAAAUUAGGAAAGGUAUCUUAAAUGACAAAAAUAUCUUCUUUUUAUCUUCCUAUUAAACUAGAGAAGAUUGAUUUUUAAUGAAAAAUGUGUGAGGGGCAUUUAGGGAGAAAAUAUGUUUCCUGCUUAGAGUAUUUUCCCAGGCAGAAGUUUCUCUAGGCAGCCUUGGUUUUGGUUUUUAGUUUUCCAAAACAUUUUA